rnacentral:rRNA from 1 species
UUAGGAAUUUUGGGCAAUGGGCGAAAGCCUGACCCAGCAACGCCGCGUGGGUGAAGAAGGCCCUCGGGUCGUAAAGCCCUUUUCCCAGGGAAGAUGAUGACGGUACCUGGGGGAUCAGCCCCGGCUAACUACGUGCCAGCAGCCGCGGUAAUACGUAGGGGGCAAGCGUUGUCCGGAUUUAUUGGGCGUAAAGCGCUCGCAGGUGGUUCAUUGCGUCGUGCGUGAAAGACCCCGGCUCAACUGGGGAGGGUCGUGCGAAACGGGUGAACUAGAGGCCAGUAGGGGGAUGCGGAAUUCCGGGUGUAGUGGUGGAAUGCGUAGAGAUCCGGAGGAACACCAGCGGCGAAGGCGGCAUCCUGGACUGGUCCUGACACUCAGGAGCGAAAGCGUGGGGAGCGAUCCGGAUUAGAUACCCGGGUAGUCCACGCUGUAAACGAUGAGUACUAGGUGUUGGGGGUAUCGACCCCCUCAGUGCCGAAGCUAACGCGAUAAGUACUCCGCCUGGGGACUACGGCCGCAAGGCU